rnacentral:rRNA from 1 species
GACAGAGGCCCCAAGCGUUAGGCGGAAUCACUGGGCUUAAAGCGUGUGUAGGCGGAUCGUUAAGUGUCUUGUGAAAUCCCACGGCUCACCCGUGGAACUGCUGGGCAUACUGGCGAUCUUGGGCCAACUAGGGGCAGUCGGAACAAGCGGUGGAGCGGUGAAAUGCGUAGAUAUCGCUUGGAACGCCAAAGGUGAAAACAGGUUGCUGGGGGAUGUGCCGACGUGAGACACGAAAGCCAGGGGAGCAAACGGG